rnacentral:rRNA from 1 species
CAGCAGCCACGGUAAUACGGGGGGGGCAAGUGUUAUUCGGAAUGACUGGGCGUAAAGGGCACGUAGGCGGUGAAAAGGGUGGAAAGUGAAAGUCGCCAAAACACUGGCGGGGUGCUUUCUUGACCAUUUCACUUGAGUGAGAUAGGGGAGAGUGGAAUUUCGUGUGGAGGGAUCAAAUCCUAAGAUAUACGAAGGAACGCCAACCGCGAAGGCAGCUCUCUGGGUCCCCACUGACGCUGGGGUGCGAAAGCAUGGGGAGCAAACAGGAUUAGAUACCCCCGUAGUCCCUGUCUCUUAUACA